UACGAAGGGUGCAAACGUUGCUCGGAAUUAUUGGGCGUAAAGCGCACGUAGGCGGCUCCGCAAGUCGGAUGUGAAAUCCCUCGGCUCAACCAAGGAAGUGCAUCCGAAACUGCAGAGCUUGAGUACCAAAGAGGAUCGCGGAAUUCCCGGUGUAGAGGUGAAAUUCGUAGAUAUCAGGAGGAACACCUGUGGUGUAGACGGCUUUCUGGACCAUAGCUGACGCUGAGACACGAAAGCGUGGGUAGCAAACAGG
rnacentral:rRNA from 1 species